UACGUAGGUGGCAAGCGUUAUUCGGAAUCACUAGGCGUAAAGCGCAGGUAGGAGGUUUGGUAAGUCUGUUGUGAAAGCUCCCGGCUUAACUGGGAGAGGUCAACGGAAACUGCUGAGCUAGAGUGCGGUAGAGGUAGCUGGAAUUCCCGGUGUAGCGGUGAAAUGCGUAGAUAUCGGGAGGAAUACCUAUGGCGAAAGCAGGCUACUGGACCGUCACUGACUCUGAUCUGCGAAAGCUAGGGGAGCAAACAGG
rnacentral:rRNA from 1 species